UUGCCUUUAUUUUUGUUUAUGAGUUUUUACCUUUCCUGCAUAUAGUAUUUUUUGAAAGGAAAAAGGUUUGCUCAGGGAGCUAACACCUGUUUAUUACGCCUAGUCACUGACCCAUCUUGGGGUCGUGAUAAGAAACUUAGGAAAUUUCCAGAAAAGUGCUAAUGCCUUGAACAUAAGGUAUGGCGGAUGUGCAUCUUGCAGUUAUGAUUCGUGGCUUAGCGAAAACUAUCUUGACUCAUGGGACCAACGCUCGAGUGUUUUGGCAGAAAUUGCUCUAUGAUUUGGCCUGACGAAAAUUUGCCUUGUGGCCUUGAUUCAUAGGCUUAAUGCUUGAGUAGCCUGGCAGGAAUCACCUUGUGACCUGGCCUAGCAAAGAUUUCCCUUGUGGCCUUAAUUAAUGAGAUCAACACCUGAGUGGUUUGGCGGAAACUGCCUUGUGACCUAGCCUGGUGAAGAUUUGCAUUGUGGCCUUAAUUCAUAGGAAUAACGCCCAAGUGGUCUGGCAAAAACUGCCUUAUGACUUGGCCUAGCAAAGAUUUACCUUGUGGCCUUGAUUUAUAGGACCAGUGCCUGAGUGGUCUGGCAAGAACUGCCUUGUGACCUGACCUGGCGAAGAUUUGCCUUGUGGCAUUGAUUCAUAGGACUAACGCCCGAGUGUUGUGGCAGAAACCGCCUUGUGACCUAGCUUGGCAAAGAUUUAUCUUGGAGUAGCGACUGAGUGGUCUGGCGGGAACGUCAUUGUGACUUGUCCUGGUGAAGGUUUAUCUUAUGGCCUUGACUCAUGGGACCAACGCCUGAGUGGUCUGGCGGGAAUUGCCUUGUGACCUGGCCUGUGAAGAUUUGCCUUGUGGCCUUAAUUCAUGGGACCAACACCCGAGUAGUUUGGUGGGAACUGCCUUGUGAUCGAAGAACAUACCAUAUAAAAAUACUUCAUUGACUUUAUUAUUAAAAGAAUAUCCUUCGUGUACAUACGAGGAUAAAACUACAUUGCUUGUCAAAAUGUGAACAAUAUCGAAACGGAUACUUUGGGCGGAUGACCUUUAUGGGCGAAUGUUUUCCUUAGAAUUAUAAAGUUCCUCACCUUUUUUGGUAACUAAGUUUAUAAUCUUGUCUAUACCUCAUUGGGUCCUUUUGUUAUCACAUGUAUGACUUCUACGGGUUCUCUAUCAAGAGUCGUCUUAGGGGUUAUUUCCUCAGGCUCAGACUUUUGCCUUUCUUUUCCUUUUCUCAGGAAUUUUUAAGGGUGCCAUCCCUUAUGAGCCUCUCGAUCUCGUCCUUUAAGUUUCGACAUUCUUCUAUUGUGUGGCCAUGAUCUUCAUAGAAGCAACAAUAUUUGGUCUUGUCCCAUUUGUCUGCAUUCUCAAGAUUAAGGUUGGGUGGCCACCUAAUUUCUUUAUCAUUCUUCCUGGUCCACAUCAAGAUAUGAGUUCGUGAGUCAUUUAGUGGGGUGUAAUUCUUAUACUUAUUAUGUUCAUCAUUCUUUUGCGAGAUGGAGUAACUCCUGUGAUCCCUUUCAUAGGCCCAUCUCUCGGACUUUUGACUUAGCUUUUUAUUUGUCUUCUUGUCUUCUUUUAGUAUCUAGAUCUCAUCAUCUAACCUGAUAUACUCUGGGCCAUAUCUAUUAGUUGUUGGUAUGUUGCUACUGGGUUUUUAAUUAAACAAUCCAUGAACUUGACAUUGCGAGUCCCUUUCUUCAAUGCCUCACAUGUUAUCUCAUGAUUCAACUCUUCCACCUAUAUGGCUUCUGUAUUGAAACGGGAAAUAAAACUCCUUAAAAACUUGCCCUCUUCCUGGCGGAUCUUUCACAGGUCUAAGGAAAGCUUUUUUGGAGGUAUGCAAGUGAUAAAUCUGGAUUUGAAUAUUGUAGCAAGCUGUGUAAAGUUUUGGAUUAAACCUAGACUUAGGUGUUGAUACCAUUUAUGAGCCAAACCCAUGAGUAUCGAUGAGAACACUCAGCAUAACACAAAAUGAUUUACAUCUUGAAGCUACAUGGUCGUCCUGAAAAUGGCUAGAUGAUUUUGGGGGUUUGUCGUUCUAUCAUACUUAUCCAAACUGGGCAACUUGAACUUAGAAAGAAAAUUUUCUACUGGUAUUUCUUUCAAAAGAGGCGAGACCCAAUCUAAACUACAAUCCUCUUUAUGUUCUCUUUGGUAUCUUUGUACCGCUCGUACUAGCUUCCAAUCCACUCCUUUCGGAGUCUCAUCCAAUUCAUCUUUAUAUUCGGACUUACCUUUAUGUCGCAAUUUGGGUGCUUCCAUUUGGGCGCUUGAGGUGUCUAUGGAAGCUUCAUCUCUUCUUUUAGGGUCCAUCUUAGACGCCUCUUCUUGAGCUUUAUACUACUCGAGAGUAUCCUGCAACCUUUGGAUAUAUUGGAGUAUGUGCUCGUUGUUCAAAUUAUUAAGGUCUGCUUUCUUGAUCACUGGAGGCGUGUUCUCCCGGUUAUUUGGGACAGAGAAAAUAAUGACUCCUUCGUUGGUAGCAAUCUUGUUAGCAACUGUAGGGCUUCCAGCCAUUUCGAGUGAAGAAAAAUAAUAGGGAAUCGGUUGUGAUCUAGAAGAGAGUUUAAUGGAUCAUCCCAGCAAUUGAACCACAAAUGAUGUUGUUAAAAUUAGAUGAAUGAUGUGGCCAGAAGAGGGUAUGCUGUGAUUGGCUAGAACUUGCAAGAAAGAAAGCGUGAGGCAGUGGUGGGUGCCCACGACAACUACUCCGACGCUCAAGUCAGUAUCUUGAAGGACAAAGAGAAUGUAAUGGACUACUUAAAGCUUGUGUAGUAUUAAAGAAAGCGUACCUUUGUCUCUACGAUAACUCUUCUUUAAUACUGCAAGAAGAUGGACAUAAACAUAGAAUCUCCUGUGAAUUCGGUUAUGAUGUGGCCAGCUACUCGAUAAUGCGCAUCACUAGCUAAUAAGUUGGUAAUCCCGCCGAUCUCAGGCGAGAUGGGAGUGUGUCUGACAAUGAAAACUCUAUGCUAAGGCUCAGCCUAUCUGGGGAGGGCGAGCCUUGUCAUCAAAUGGGAUAUUAAAGUGUCUAAGUCUCCCUUUCCUUAUGCAGGACUGUAUUUUCUAUUUGUCAGUUCUUUGCCACGUGACCCCUAUCUUGUAGUAACAACUCAUAACUUACUUUCAGAAAAUGUUAUGUCACAUCACUAAGUAAAUAAAUUCUAAGUUGUUUCCUUGUUAGUUUAUCUAAAGUGUGUGUGCUAUCUCCAUGAUGAAAUUUUAUUGUGUUUUUUCUCAUUCAAUAGACUUAUUAUGUAUUUUUGUUGGCAUUUUAUUUUGUUUCUAGAUAAGAGUUGUUCUACGAUAUAUAGAUGUUUUCUUUAGUAAAAAAAUAUAAAUUUAUAGAUUAUUUAAUAGAACUUGUGAAAUACCAUGGUGUUAAGGAAUGGAACAUGCACUUUGCCU
rnacentral:lncRNA from 1 species